rnacentral:sRNA from 1 species
UCUCAUAUCUCUCUAUACGGGAGAGAAGCUUCGACUAAGGUUCGAUUCGAGCGUCAGCGAGAAAGCGUUGCCGCAGGCAACGACCCGA